AUCCAGUUGACGAAUCCCAAACAGGACGAAACACGCGCCUUGGAU
rnacentral:hammerhead_ribozyme from 1 species